UCGUUCAUUAUUUCACAAAGACGACGCGACGGCCGCAUUUCACUUAUUUUGCUAAUAUUGAUAAUACUUUAGCUCAAUACGGAAGUUUUGUUGAACCAAGGGUUAAAUAUGGAAGACGAGUCGCUUCCGAAAAGGAACAAAUUAUCCUAGACACUGCAAAUAAUAAUCCUUGAGUUUCAAUCAGAGUUUUCUCAAACGAAGUGGCACUACCUCGAAUGACAGUUUAAAGAACUUUACAUAAUCGUGGAUAUAAACCUUAUAAAAUUCAUAUUAGUCAAGACCUAGCGAUGCUGAGAGACGCUUUGAAUGUUGCUACUGGUUGCAAGAUAGAGUUAAUGAAGAUGCCGACUUCCUAAAUAAAAUUAUAGUGACAGAUGAAUGCAGUUUUUCAACAAAUGGACUAUUUAAUAGAAAUAACGAACACUAUUGGUCAAUAGAAAACCCAAGGCAGAAUCAAGAAGAAGUCUAACUUCCGAAUAAGGACCAAUAUAAUGGAUGCCUUAAUGGAAGAACCUUUGGAUGUAUUACAUCAACUAUAGUGGCAACAGGAGGGUGCACUAUCCCAUAAUAGACGAAGCGUCACCAAUUUAUUAAAUGAACUGUUCCCUAACAAAUAGAUUGAAAACCAAGGACCCGUACGUUGGCCCGCUAGAAGCCCCGACCUAAACCCUUUAGAUUACUUUUUUUAGGGAGUUCUUCAAAAUCGUCUUUAUCAAAAUACUCCACAAAAUCUUGAAGCCUUACGUCAAGCCUAACAUUAGAGCUAUCCCCACAAGGACUAUUCAGCGUACCAUCCAUAAAAUUCACAGACUAACACGAAAAUGCAUCCAAGCAGGCGGAUUACUAUUUGAACAUUUGCUUUAAUUGUGCCAUUUUUAAACCUCCUUUUAUGAUAGUGUUUAAGCUUUUCUUAUUAAUGCGUUUUUAUAAAAAAAGGUGUUUG